rnacentral:rRNA from 1 species
UACGUAUGGUGCAAGCGUUAUCCGGAAUGACUGGGUGUAAAGGGAGCGUAGACGGUUGUACAAGUCUGAUGUGAAAGCCCACGGCUCAACUGUGGGAGUGCAUUGGAAACUGUAGAACUAGAGUAUCGGAGAGGCAAGUGGAAUUCCUAGUGUAGCGGUGAAAUGCGUAGAUAUUAGGAGGAACACCAGUGGCGAAGGCGGCUUGCUGGACGAAAACUGACGUUGAGGCACGAAAGCGUGGGGAGCAAACAGG